rnacentral:rRNA from 1 species
UACAGAGGGUGCGAGCGUUGUCCGGAAUCACUGGGCGUAAAGGGCGCGUAGGCGGCUUGAUAAGCGUGCGGUGAAAGCCCGGGGCUCAACCCCGGGUCGGCCGUGCGAACUGUCGAGCUGGAGCACUGUAGAGGCAGGUGGAAUUCCGGGUGUAGUGGUGAAAUGCGUAGAGAUCCGGAGGAACACCAGUGGCGAAGGCGGCUCGCUGGGCUUUUUCUGACGCUGAGGCGCGAAAGCGUGGGGAGCGAACCGGG